CGAGCACUCUAGACGAACUGCCGUUGACAAAACGGAGGAAGGUGGGGAUGACGUCAAAUCAUCAUGCCCCUUAUGUUCUGGGCUACACACGUGCUACAAUGGCCGGUACAGACGGACGCAAAGCCGCGAGGUGGAGCAAAUCCUAAAAGCCCGGUCUCAGUUCGGAUUGCAGGCUGCAAUUCGCCUGCAUGAAGUCGGAAUCGCUAGUAAUCGCAGGUCAGCAUACUGCGGUGAAUACGUUCCCGGGCCUU
rnacentral:rRNA from 1 species